CUCCGCGCCAUGCUUUUCGCGGAUCAGUCUUUGAGUGUCCUUCGAAGCAGCCGUCUGUUUUGACACGUGUUCGUUAUAUUUAACGAAGCGACGAUUUUUCGUCGAUGAAAGACCGACGGAGAUGCUGGUUAGCGAAUGAGAGUUGAUGAAAUAUUCCAUUUGGGGAUAUUUCGCAAACUUGGCAGGAGUUUUGUAAUUCGAACAAAAAACGUAGAAGAUUAAAAUGAAAAGGUCUGUGCCUACGACCGUGUAUCCGAGGUCGCUCGUACACGACCUUUCGACAUAUCAACGCUAAGAGCAGCACGAUAGCGACAAUGGGUACACAAAGAGACCCACGUAGACGUCAUGCAAGGGUGGAUCUUCCGUGAACUCGGCGCUCAAGAUCGGCCUUGCUAUCCAACUUCUAGUCCUG